AGAGAGAGAGAAUUCAGCACAGCGCAUUUAAACUAACUCUUUGGCUUUCUGGGAAGGUCUCCAUCUCUUACAAAGCCAAGUUUUGAUGAGGAGUGAGAAUCACAUUUAUUUCCAGAGUGGGAAGAGAACAUAAAGGUCAUGCCUUAAGAAGUAGACCACAAUAGCUUAUUGAAUUCUCAGAAAAUAAAUGGAGUGAGGGAAAUGCUCUGAACUGGGAAAAUGCUUAUAUAA